AGGACUCCUAUUUAGAACAAAUCAUACACUUAUGUCAAAUGAGAACAGCCUGAUAUUCUUCCAUUACGAGUUAUCAUGUGAAUAGUUGCAGGGAUAUAGUAAUGAGCUGCCUAAUCAUAUUUGAAACAAGUAGUCAUUUCAAUUAAAUUCCAUCUGAGAAAGCUUGGCGUCCUAUCUUUUCUCAGAAAUCUAUAAGUGUUAUGGGCCUUUAACAUUGGAAUUACGUUGAGGCUAAAUUCAGGGGAUGGUGAAUGAUUAUUAGCUUAUUGCUUAUGUUUUAUUACUGAUUCUGCUCUAAAUCCGAGAACUAGAGGGGGGAGUAGGGUGUACACUAGGGUGGAACAAGCACAAGAUAAGCAGAUUCUGGCAAAGACUUGAACAAAUAUGGUAAACACCAUAUUGUGAUAAAGGUAACCCACUAACUAGUGGUGAUUCAGG
rnacentral:lncRNA from 1 species